rnacentral:rRNA from 1 species
CACCUGGUGGCGAGUGGCGAACGGGUGAGUAAUACAUCGGAACAUGUCCUGUAGUGGGGGAUAGCCCGGCGAAAGCCGGAUUAAUACCGCAUACGAUCUACGGAUGAAAGCGGGGGACCUUCGGGCCUCGCGCUAUAGGGUUGGCCGAUGGCUGAUUAGCUAGUUGGUGGGGUAAAGGCCUACCAAGGCGACGAUCAGUAGCUGGUCUGAGAGGACGACCAGCCACACUGGGACUGAGACACGGCCCAGACUCCUACGGGAGGCAGCAGUGGGGAAUUUUGGACAAUGGGCGAAAGCCUGAUCCAGCAAUGCCGCGUGUGUGAAGAAGGCCUUCGGGUUGUAAAGCACUUUUGUCCGGAAAGAAAUCCUUGGUUCUAAAAUAGCCGGGGGGAUGACGGUACCGGAAGAAUAAGCAACCGGCUAACUACGUGCCAGCAGCCGCGGUAAUACGUAGGGUGCGAGCGUUAAUCGGAAUUACUGGGCGUAAAGCGUGCGCAGGCGGUCUGCUAAGACCGAUGUGAAAUCCCCGGGCUCAACCUGGGAACUGCAUUGGUGACUGGCAGGCUAGAGUAUGGCAGAGGGGGGUAGAAUUCCACGUGUAGCAGUGAAAUGCGUAGAGAUGUGGAGGAAUACCGAUGGCGAAGGCAG